rnacentral:rRNA from 1 species
AGAGUUUGAUCCUGGCUCAGGAUGAACGCUGGCGGCGUGCUUAACACAUGCAAGUCGAACGAAGCACGGGGACGGAAGCCCUCCGGGGUGGAAGGCCGCGUGACUGAGUGGCGGACGGGUGAGUAACGCGUGGGUAACCUGCCCCAUACAGGGGGAUAACAGCCGGAAACGGCUGCUAAUACCGCAUGCACAUGCGGGGGCGCAUGCCCCUGCAUGGAAAGCUUUCGCGGUAUGGGAUGGGCCCGCGUCUGAUUAGGCAGUUGGCGGGGUAACGGCCCACCAAACCGACGAUCAGUAGCCGGCCUGAGAGGGCAACCGGCCACGCUGGUACUGAGACACGGACCAGACUCCUACGGGAGGCAGCAGUGAGGAAUAUUGGUCAAUGGGCGGGAGCCUGAACCAGCCAAGUCGCGUGAGGGAAGACGGCCCUAUGGGUUGUAAACCUCUUUUGUCAGGGAGCAAGGACUGCCACGCGUGGCAGGGCGAGAGUACCUGAAGAAAAAGCAUCGGCUAACUCCGUGCCAGCAGCCGCGGUAAUACGGAGGAUGCGAGCGUUAUCCGGAUUUAUUGGGUUUAAAGGGUGCGUAGGCGGGCUGGUAAGUCAGCGGUAAAAUUGUGAGGCUCAACCUCAUCGAGCCGUUGAAACUGCCGGUCUUGAGUGGGCGAGAAGUAUGCGGAAUGCGUGGUGUAGCGGUGAAAUGCAUAGAUAUCACGCAGAACUCCGAUUGCGAAGGCAGCAUACCGGCGCCCAACUGACGCUGAAGCACGAAAGCGUGGGUAUCGAACAGGAUUAGAUACCCUGGUAGUCCACGCAGUAAACGAUGAAUACUAAUUGUUCGCGUCGAGUGAGACGUGAGUGAUACAGCGAAAGCGUUAAGUAUUCCACCUGGGGAGUACGCCGGCAACGGUGAAACUCAAAGGAAUUGACGGGGGCCCGCACAAGCGGUGGAGUAUGUGGUUUAAUUCGAAGCAACGCGAAGAACCUUACCAGGCCUUGACAUGGGAUGCGAAGAUGCAGAGAUGCAUCGGAGGUCAACAUCCACACAGGUGGUGCAUGGUUGUCGUCAGCUCGUGUCGUGAGAUGUUGGGUCAAGUCCCGCAACGAGCGCAACCCUUGUGGCAUGUUGCUAACAGGAAAAGCUGAGGACUCAUGCCAGACUGCCGGUGACAAACCGGAGGAAGGCGGGGAUGACGUCAAAUCAUCAUGCCCCUUAUGGCCUGGGCUACACACGUACUACAAUGGCGGCUACAAAGAGCAGCGAGACAGGGAUGUCGAGCGAAUCUCAUAAAAGCCGUCCCAGUUCGGAUUGGAGGCUGCAACCCGCCUCCAUGAAGUUGGAAUCGCUAGUAAUCGCGGAUCAGCAUGCCGCGGUGAACACGUUCCCGGGCCUUGUACUCACCGCCCGUCAAG